rnacentral:rRNA from 1 species
UACGAAGGGGGCUAGCGUUGUUCGGAAUUACUGGGCGUAAAGCGCACGUAGGUGGAUUGUUAAGUCGGGGGUGAAAUCCCAGGGCUCAACCCUGGAACUGCCUCCGAUACUGGCUGUCUUGAGUCCGGGAGAGGUGAGUGGAAUGCCGAGUGUAGAGGUGAAAUUCGUAGAUAUUCGGCGGAACACCAGUGGCGAAGGCGGCUCACUGGCCCGGUACUGACGCUGAGGUGCGAAAGCGUGGGGAGCAAACAGG